rnacentral:miRNA from 1 species
UCAGGGUAGGAGGGGAGGCUAGGCUAGCAUACACCUGGCUGACCCGUCCUCCACCCCAG